UGGCUGGUCUGAUGAGGGGCUGGGCAGAAUCCCAUUCCUGGGUACAGAGAAGCCUUACUGGCUAUUCAAAGCCAGUGAGAGUCAAGAACCGGACAAGAGGAUUAGAACAAAGGAGCUGCUCUCAGUGGAGAAAGUCCGAGAUAAAUCUGCAAUUCACACCAUGGACUGUUAGCAUUUAAGAGACGCUGAUGCUUUCUACAGCUGCCCUGCUGAUUUUGAAACGGCUGCAGAGGAAAAGCAGAGCCGGGGCUGCCUGCCUUUGGACUGAGUUUUGUUUCUGUUGCUGCCCAUUCUCAUGCAGUGCCGUGGCAGGGCGGUUCCAUGCACGGGGCAGGAAGGCAUGCAGGCACCGUGUCCCAGCUGCAGAUGGACAGUCUCUUGAUGAUGGGCUGUGACAGUGCUUUCAUCUUCAAAGCAUCCAGCAUCUUUCUCUGUGGGCCGCACGCCAUCGCCCAUCCUCGAAUCCACUCAUUAGCUCGUUCCCUGGUAAAGCUUCUCCUUGGUACCCUAGCCUGCGGCGCAACACCUCCCUGGAUCCCACACUACUGAGAGGGACAAGGUGAGUAGAGUCGGAUCCCAGUGACCACACCCUUUGGAUCACGGUCUCUUGAGGACCUUCUCCAGAGUUACCACGAGUUCCAGCACAACGUGCAUAAGUCAGGGAGCUGAGAAUCUGACUCACAGAACCAUCCAAGCAGGGAAAUUGGACUCACAGAACUGAAGCCUUCUGUAGACAUAAUAUAUCUAGAUCGAAACAACAUUUUUGGAAAAGUUCCUCCUGGUAUCCUUUGGACACGUAAGCUGGAGGAUCACGCUGGAUUGAGAGAAGAAUUACCCAUGAUUUUGGAAGAAGGCAAGUUUUGUGCCAAAUUUAGCAGCCUACGUGACUCUUCUCAUGCCAUGUUGAGGGCAGCUGCACAGGCUGCAAGGAUUAUCUUGGAGCUGAAUUUGCAUAUCUAGCUGAGGGGACCCACUGCGAUGGCUGCAACUCAUUUGCAUAAUGUUUGUACUUGUUACAGUUUGAGUUCCAACCAAAUCCCUUCAAUUAACUUAGUUUGUACUGUGUGUUACACCCAGCGGGGCUGUCCUUGGGGCCUGGGAUGAGGUAGCAAGGAUGACACUGAUGGUCAUUAAUGUGCUAAGUUAACUCUGCCCGUGUGCAUCAUCUGGAGUUCUCAUAACAACCCUGCAUGCCACGUUAUGGGCUACAUUGUGACCCCUCCAAAAGAUAUGCUGGGUCCUAACCCCCAGCAUCUGCAAACGUGACCUUGUUUGGAAAUAAGGUCUUUACAAAGGGGAUCAAGUUCAAAUGAGGUCCUCAGAGUGGGCCCUAAUCCGGUCUAUCUGAUAUGACUCAUGUCCUUACAAAAAGGGGACAUUUGGACACAGAGACAGACACACAGACACACGUGAAGAGCCAUAGGGAGUAGGCCACGUGAAGACUGGAGGGAGGCAGCCACGAGCCAAGGCACGUCGGGGCCGCCAGAAGCUGGAAGAGGACAGGAAGGAUCCUUCUCUUACAGCUUUGGGAGGGAGCACAGUCCUGCUGACACCUUGCAUUUGGACUUCAGCCUUCAGAACUGUGAGAUAAUACAUUUCUGUUGUCCUCUGCCACCCAAUAUGUGGCACUUUCUUACGGCAGCCCCGGGAAAUUCAUAUACAAGGUAAUAUUAUUAUUUCCGCUUUAUAGAUGACAAAACUGAGGAUAGGGAAUUUCUGCAAACUCUUUUAGCUGGCGUUGUGGAAUGAAUUCAAGAAUGAAGUCAUCCUUGGAGUUUUCUGGUGCCUCCCAUCCGAUGUACAGGGAUGCUGCCUACUGAUGACAGCCCUUAUAGACACCAGCAGCCCUGCAUUUGGAGGGUGGGAGUGAUACACAUAACACUCCACAGCCCUUGCUUUGCUGCACACAAACUGCUGUCUCCAUGUUUCACCAUCUAUUUUGUGCACAAACUUGGAUGCUAUGAACAGGCAGAAUGGGCACGAUUGUAUACGAUGAAAGCCUUUCCAGGAGAUUUUAGCCCUUAAUUUCAGCCGAUAUGCAAGAAAUGGAUGUACUUAGCAUCCACCUCAGAGGACUCCGCAAGAGCCAGCAGGUGUGUCACUUAGAGACGAGAGGAAGAGCCCCUUAGCCGAGCAGAGUGAGUAAUUCAGCCUGAUGGCCUGCAGGAGUUCGAAGGUGGCAUCUCAACAACUGGCUUUGAGGAAAAGAUUCCAAGAGCAGGUUGACUUGUCAGUAUCAUUCCGGAUCAAAGCCCAGAAAAGUCUGGGUUCAAGUAUCCAUGAAAGCUCUGAUUCCAGGCAGGAGGCAGGACUCAAGGAAGAGAUCAGUGUCGUCUGAAACAGCGAAGCGUGCUCCAGCACUGUAUUGUAUUUCCGGCAGCUUCUUGAUCGCAGCAAGCAUCUGCAUAAUGUAGGCACUCUUAAUCCAUAUUUCGGUAAUUGUAACCAUAGAUCACAGAAAUUCAUUCACGUGGCACACGAGAUAAGAGAUGAAGAAACUGCUUUAUGCAUGCAAAUCAAAACCGCUUGUAUUCCUGAAUAUAAUGAUGGCAAAAAGAUGUGAGUUUCCAGAUGUGCAAGAGAGAGAUUUUCAAGACGUAUAGUCGUUCCACAACACACUCUGAUGAAUUUUUCAGAGAUGAAAUAUGCCUUUGAUUAAGGAAGGUUUUUCUGCCUUUCUGAUAAGUCCCGUGUGCGCUGGGGUACUCAUUUACUCAUGAUGUCGUAUGCAAAAUGAAAGGAUAAAACCUUCACUUUGAUUUAUGAUCAUGGUUAUUAAUUUCUGAUGCAGCUUUUUGGUUCGGAUUAUUCAGGGGUGGAGGGAUUUGGCAGCGUAGAUGAGAAGCCCGGGAGAUUUACCGGCGUAAACAUCACAGCAGAGGUCCAGUCGUAAAUAACAAGACUUCUAAAAAGAAGUACUAAACCCCCCCAUUAUUAGUAGGUACAGGAAGAAACUCAAAAAUGUAAAAAAAGAAGCUGGUACAGACUAGGAUUUCUGCACAGGUAACUUCCGAAGGGAGCCUCACGUGCAGGGACUAGAGACACGUUUUCUUGUUUCCCACAAAAACUGUGACCCCAUCCCGUUUCACCAGCAUGGGGAUGUUUUCUGGAUCCUGGUGCCAUCAGUAAGCUAAGACCAUACCUGUGGUCCAUUCUGCUAACAACCAGGGUUCAUAGGCUAUGACUUUGAUAGGUUAUUUUCGACUCCAUUACGUAAAAAUGCGCAAUCAUGGGUUGGCCGCAUCAAAAUUCCAACUUGGAGCGCAUGCUGAAUUCAUAACAUUUUUAGUCUGGAUGCAUUAGGUGACAAUUUUUUCAUGGCUUGGGCAAACAGCCUCUAGGUGGGGUGAGGGUGUCAAGCUGGCCUGGCAGAAGGGGGCUAGGGAACAUGGGAGCUGAGGGGGUGCUGGGUACCCAGUGCAGCACAGAGCAGGACCAGCAUCCACUCCCAAGGUCUGCUCUUCUCAGUACAAUUCUGGCUCGUGUCCAUAUGGCCAUGGGAUGCACCUGGCCCGGGGUGUCUGACAGAACUUGGGAUGGAGUCACGAUUCCUAAGAAGUUCCACCAGAGCCGCCAGUACGCUCAGUCUCUAGGGGGUGGGCGUGGCUGGUUGUAUACAGGGAUGUGUUAUCAGACAGGAUCCAGAACCUUGGGUGAGGACCAGGUGGACUUGAGGGAGAAGCUAAGCAGAGGGGGACCAAAAACCAGCUAGAAGGUGGUGCACACGGGGCAGGGAAGGGGGAGUGAGAGAAAGAAGGCCCUUAGUUUGCGAUGCUCAGCCUGCCUUGUUCAGGAUUUGCGAUUGAAGGGACUCAGAGGAUGUGAAGAGAGACCUGUGUCCCCUCUCCCACGGGAGUUUAUAGAAAAGUCAGCAGCACUGUUACCAGAGAAAUGGCAGGAGGUGGGGCGUGCAAGUCGCAAGCUGUUUAAUCCAGGCCAGGAGCCCUGAUGGAACCUCUUUGUUCGCUCUGCUCCUCUCUCCUCUGGGGGACCCCCUUGCUCCCCUCCUUGCACUCCACAUGGAGGGGCUGCAGAACUUUUGCCCCCUCUGCCCAGCCAAACAGAAAAGCACCCCUGGCUGGGGUUGUUUGAUGUUUUCCAGAAAACCAGCUUAUGGGAUUGUCUCUUAUCAGACGUGAACCAGAAUGGGGCUGAUGGGGAAGAAGGACACGUGGCUGUAAAAGCCAGAGGAGCUCCUGAAAACUCUGCCCAGGAUGCAUCUUGGGAGAGAGGUCUGAGAACACGGACCUGUUUUGAAUGGGCAAGAGAAUUUGCAGGAGAACUUCCAGGAGAAAGCAGGACGGCAGAGGGCUCGCACAGCUGCCGGGCUCCUCAUGUUUACCUGUUGAUUCUCCUCUAAGGUCUCAGCAGUAAGGACAGAGCAUUUCUCCGGGUUUCUCUCUGCCACUUGGAGGUUGCUAUCUGGCGCCUGUUGGCUGACCCUAUGGUUGGCCCAUCCACCUAACAGGUGCAACCCUGGGUUGUUUUCACCUUGCAAAGUCAGCCAGCUCAGGCCCAUAUAAGGAUCUCUAUAAAGCAGAGGAAUAGACCUGUUUCCUCUGAAAUGCUAGUAUGGAUUUGAUCUUCAAGUGAGAAAAAACAAUGUAGGAGAAAGGAAAUAAACUUGAACCAUUUCAAGCAAUUAAUCAUAAAAUUACAGUUUAUCUCCCCUCCCCACCUAAAUAAAUUAAAUUUAAUGAAACAACCGGUUCAAGUUACAACUCAAAUUUAAGCAAACCAGAUUUUUAAUGAAGUUUUCAAAAGAGAAGAUGAGUCAUACCAGUCAUAAUUCAGUCAAAAUUGUCAAACUGGAGCAAAAUUGCAAAAAAGCUAAAGCUGUUGCCUUUUAGCGGUUUUAUAUGGAGACAAGAGAAAACAAAUGUGUUUAGGGGACUUGUUUUGUUUUUUUAAGUCUCAGGCAUAUACAGUUUGGAAUUCUUUGCGGUGAUUAAGAUUUGUGGAAGAGUGAAUUUUAGAAAUGUGAGUCCUUCCAAACGUUUUGUUGGAAAUAUGGGCAAAGGGGUCGUUGUUGAUAAUCGUGCGAUGAAAGAAAAUUACAAAUUCCUCAAGAGCGGGCUGCUCUUUUCUGAAGCUCUCUAAUGCCAUUGUAAAACCUCGAGGAAAGUCUUCUGGAUUAUUCCUCAACCACAAAUAUACACAAGGCAACCCGGAGAGGCCGCAAGAGCAGAGGGAAGUUUCAGGAAAGGUUAACAGUUCCAGGGACUUGUCCCCAGAUUAGCAAAGCUUUGAGCAUGGCCAACCCCGCUCUGUCUGGCCUCACGUCCUCCUUGGCAUGCUGCUUUCCGUCUACACCCACAAAACUACUUGCCUGUGGGCUAGAUGCUAGACUCAAGAAAGAAUUCCAUUUUCUUAAUUCCAGCACCUCUGCUUGAUAACUUCUUUCGCAUCUCCCUGUUUAUGGAUACUUGAGUAGACACAAGGAAAUGAAGAGUAAGUCUCUGGUGUGUCUCUUUUUCUAUUUUCCUUGGGCUUCAUUCUGCCCCAGGGGGUGAAGACGCCCUGGAAUCAUGCAGCACUGAGGGUAUCCCUCUGAUGGAGCUCUCCAUCCCAUUUGUAUCAGGACCAGCUCCCGUCAUCUCUCUGGAGCCCACCGCGGUUUCACUCUCCACCUCCUUUGUCUGCGUCAGUGCAAAGCCCUGGGGGUCCUUGCCGUGAAACCGCUUCCCACGGGGCUGGAGUCCUCAGGAAGCUUCCUUUGAUGGGGAAGAUGAUUGCUUCUCCCAAAUGCCCACCCCUUCCAAGACUUGAGGUUACGUCGCAGAUGAAAGGCUGGCCUUGUUAGCGCUUGUCAGAGCCACGCGUGAGGAGCACCCCCAGGAAGAUUCAACUUGGCAUACAGGUGCUUUGCUCCUAAGGAUGGUUUAAAUACACAAAGUUUGGGAAAUUGUGCCAAAACCACAAAAUGAAUCAGCUCUUUCUGAUGAAAUCCUUACGUUUUCUUUCCCAAGAAUAUGCGAGGAGGUGAUGGAAACGUAAUGACGUUGGAGGUUGUUGAGACCACUGAUUUGACAAUGGAGGCACAUCAAACAGUUUAUCAAGGACAUUUUGAGGUGCCUCCUCUGAGAACAGCUAUUUGGCUCUUUUCUGUCCCUAUGAUAUAAAUAAGGUCCUCAAGUUACAACAGAUUCUGUUGCAUCUCAGGAAUGCCAUGGAAUAUAAUUAGACUGGGCUGUCAUGCAGAGAUGGGCACAGAGCAGGCAAACCUGGAAUGUGAGUCAGAGGUGCAGGGAAGAAGGUCAGGACACAUGGACAUGGGCAGGGCCGGGGCUCCGUGCCUGCACAGCACUGUGGCAAAGGCCCGUCCCAGGGGCUAAGGUGUAUGGGCAAAUCCCAGGACCAAAGGGGUCAAGACAUGGGAGCCCCUCCGUGAGCUCAGUUCUUCCAGAUUCCCACACGCAUCAUCUUGGCUCCAACAGGUCCCGGGGCCAGCGGUGGACGCAGCCGAGGGGAAGAGCAUGAUGCUCCAGGCGAGACGCAGAGCCCAGCAGCCACCCAGAAACUGUGAGCAGUCUCUGGAUCUAAACCCACUCCUCACUUCUGUAUUUUUGUAGAAAAAGUCACACUGAGAGAUUGUCAGACACUUUGCUCCAAAAAUAUAACUUUCUCCAUUCCUGUUUUCCAGUCCCCUGAUUCUUUUAUUCUAUUAUUAUAUUUUAAAGCAGUUGUUUCGGUACAACUUCUGCUUUGCAGGCUAAAGCUGGCAUCGAGCCACCCACACGCCCCAUCUGUGCGCACAAAGCUCCGCUCCAUCAUCUGAUCUGGAUGCUCCUGUUAUGAUGCGACAGGACCAAGACGGGAG